rnacentral:rRNA from 1 species
AAACUUUCAACAACGGAUCUCUUGGCUCUGGCAUCGAUGAAGAACGCAGCGAAAUGCGAUACGUAAUGCGAAUUGCAGAAUUCAGAGAGUCAUCGAAUCUUUGAACGCACAUUGCGCCCGCCAGCAUUCUGGCGGGCAUGCCUGUCCGAGCGUCAUUU